UAACUCCCUCAGAUGAAUCUGUCCUAUAGUAAAAUACAGGACUUAAGCUUCUGUGGCUGUUGAGCUGACAGCUCCUGUCCAGAACAAAAUUUUCUAAACACAAACCAGCCUAAAUACAUAGAUGACUGCCCCCUCCAAUUGCUGUGCUCCACUUUAUUUGACAGUACAGCUUUUCCUUCACAAACUCUUCAUGUGAUGAGACACUUAUUUCAGCUGUUGACCCCUAUCAAUGACCCCUCACUGGGAGAUCAGGUGUAGAGAACCAGGCUAUUAUCUGCCUUCCACUCACACAUUUCUAAUCAAAGCAGCCAAUUUUGCUAACGCCUACAGCUGAAGUCACAGUGAGUGAGACCUGGCUGAGUACAGAGAAAAGAAGUGCUUGGAAUGGUGGAGACAGGGGUAAAUGGAAAAAUAACUGACCCUUCCACUCCCAUGGGACAAGUGGGAAGGACAGUGGCAGAAUCAUCCACUGGUAUUCAGCACUUGGAGGGAUGAGGCCUGAAUCCUUUCUUACAACAUUAGCAGAACUUGUGAUGGAUGCAAACUAAUUUACCUUGGAACCUGCUCCAAAGCAUUGUCAUUGCUUUAAAUAACGUCCCUGCUGAGAUGGUAGAUGUGACUGGAAGUUGGCAAAGGGAAGAGCAAGAAAGAAAAGAACCCUUGAGGCACUCCAGUUAAAACAAUGUUGUAGCCUGUCACUGAAUUAUGCGAGAAACUGUUAGGCAACCUGCUAUGGACCAUGACAAAUUAUCCCUGGAGAGCCCUGCAAGAUGAACACAAGUAGCUAUGAAGGAAUACUGUGAAAGCCCAAAGCUGUUGCCUGUCUAUAAGGCUGAGUGGCAUUAUGCAUGUUUCUUACUGACCCUGUUAGGUGAGCAACACCUAGUGAUUAUUUGUCCUCUGGAGUAAGGCAAUACCAUGAGUUUUUUAUUAAACAGAGAACUUGGAAUAAAUGGUGACAGCAAAUCAGUCAUUAAUUAUUACUGACUCAUCAUGUUCUGUUUGUAGGCCAGCAGCAGAGAUCUUUAAAUUACGUUAAUUGCUACUUGUACUCUCAGUCAUGCAAAAAGAAAAUUUAGACUGCAUCUGGUGAUCACCCCAGCAUGGAAAAAGUCACCCGUUUCCUUCUGGUACCCAUCUUGUUACUUCUUGCAAUAGGCUGAAGUGCUGUCGGGGAGGAGUGGGGUUGAACUCUGAUGUCUUUCAUCUGCCAAUUCAGGACAGUGAGCUCUGCCCAAAGGGUAGUGCCAGUAGCAUAAGCUAGGACAGGCCUGUGGCAUCUUCUUGAUGCCAGGCCAGACAUCCACUCUGUCACUGCUGGGCCCAAGUCAUCCCAUUCCAGCAACUCCGUGAUGUCAAUGAGAAACAGACUGCUCAUAACGACAGGGCUUGGCAUUCUUUCUCCAACUGUUAGAGCAGUAGGCACUACUACCGUGUGUGCGCCAGUAAUGUGUGACAACAUUAAAUCUCGUUCCAAGUGAAA